ensembl:snRNA U4 U4 spliceosomal RNA
GUCCUUGUGCAGAGGCAAUAUUCAUAGUCUGUGAAGUUCUGCUGAGACGUGAUCAUUGCUGGUUGAAAACUUAACCCAAUACCCCGCCUGGCUGACUUGGAAUAUAGUCUGCUAUGGCAAUAUUUGAUGGUCUCUUCAGAAA